rnacentral:misc_RNA from 1 species
UGGUUUUGGCAGUACCUUCUGCCUGCAGAAAGCAUUUGAUUUGUUAGCAGGAAAACUGGGUUCCAGGACUCCUCUUAUCGUAACCUGGGCCAAUGGAGUCAUGGGAAGAGAUGCUCUUACCAAUGAGUUCAGAGAGGUCAUGGGGGGAGAUGAUUGUAGUGAUUGUGAUGACAAGCAUAUGGAUGCCAAUUCUGGUAUCCUUUUGACUGUGGGCUUUUUACCUGGAUUGCAAGUUGAGGCCAUCCCUCUGUUAAGACGAACGCAGGCACCUCGAGUAUCAAUGGCUGAUGACCUUGUGGUGG